AGAGUUUGAUCAUGGCUCAGAGCGAACGCUGGCGGCAGGCCUAACACAUGCAAGUCGAACGGAUCCUUCGGGAUUAGUGGCGGACGGGUGAGUAACACGUGGGAACGUGCCUUUUGGUUCGGAACAACUCAGGGAAACUUGAGCUAAUACCGGAUGUGCCCUUCGGGGGAAAGAUUUAUCGCCAUUAGAGCGGCCCGCGUCUGAUUAGCUAGUUGGUAGGGUAAAGGCCUACCAAGGCUACGAUCAGUAGCUGGUCUGAGAGGAUGAUCAGCCACAUUGGGACUGAGACACGGCCCAAACUCCUACGGGAGGCAGCAGUGGGGAAUCUUGCGCAAUGGGCGAAAGCCUGACGCAGCCAUGCCGCGUGAAUGAUGAAGGUCUUAGGAUUGUAAAAUUCUUUCACCGGGGAAGAUAAUGACGGUACCCGGAGAAGAAGCUCCGGCUAACUUCGUGCCAGCAGCCGCGGUAAUACGAAGGGGGCUAGCGUUGCUCGGAAUUACUGGGCGUAAAGGGAGCGUAGGCGGACAGUUAAGUCAGAGGUGAAAGCCCAGGGCUCAACCCUGGAAUUGCCUUUGAUACUGAUUGUCUUGAGUAUGGGAGAGGUAUGCGGAACUCCGAGUGUAGAGGUGAAAUUCGUAGAUAUUCGGAAGAACACCAGUGGCGAAGGCGGCAUACUGGCCCAUUACUGACGCUGAGGCUCGAAAGCGUGGGGAGCAAACAGGAUUAGAUACCCUAGUAGUCC
rnacentral:rRNA from 1 species